UUUAAAUAAAAAGGCCUUGGCCUGGCGCCAAAAAGCAAAUAGCAACGGCACCAGGCGGACCUCUCUGGGAAGCGCAUGCCAUAGUCAGGGCGCCACCGCAGAGAAAGCCCUCCUCCGGGUACCCACCCGCCUAAUGUCUUUCACGAAGGGUUGCCAGAGGAGGGCCUCUGCUGCUGAUCUCAAGGGGCGGGAGGGCAAAUAUGGAAGAAUGCGCUCCUUCAGGUAACCAGGACCCAAGCCGUUGAGGGCUUU